rnacentral:lncRNA from 1 species
UUUGGAAACAAAAAAAGAAAAAUGAUUGUACCGAUCCUGCGUAUGUUUUCGGUACGAUCCUCAGCUUUGAAAGUGAGGUCCCGGUUAAGACCAUGACGUACAUUGUCUCCGUCAAGUGUGUAAGUAAGUUUGCCUCUUUCGAACAGAGCUUUACUUAAGGCACAAGCAACAGUGCUUUUCCCUGAGCCGCUGAGACCAGUGAUCCAAAUGACACAACCCUUCUGUUGAAGAAGUUGUUGUCGGUCGCAUCUGCAAAUGGAACUCUCGUGCCACACGAUGUUCUCUGGCUUAUUUUUGUCUCCGUUGAUUCUCUCUUCUUUCACAUUCGUCUCUACCAAGAAAAACAGAACAACAAUUGUGACAUUUUCAGACAAAACAUCUUAGGUUUAGCAAUUUGAGGAGAGUCUUUAAAGUGAAAGAAUACCUGAAAGGGCGGGAAAAUCGGCGGUGAGGGAAGCUUGAGCAGAGACAUUAACGGCGGAGAUCGGAUGUAAAGAAGCAGACUUCGCGACUAGUUUUGGCUUAUCUGCAGCAUAUGAUGACGUUGGGAGCCUGAGGAAACCGUCACUUAGAGGCAGUCGCUGAGAACCGACGUCGAGACCUGGAAGAGAGCAGAUGAUGGACGGUCGCGAUGCUCUGAUUGCUAAUCCUUCCAUUUGAACUUUUUAUUACUGAAACUUGCAGAUCCCAGACGGUGUUGGGGUUAACAGUUUCUGUAGUUCUGACAAAAUCAAUGUACGAAACAAAUCUGCUUAUAUAAAUUAUAUACAAGAAAGAUGGAUUAUUUGAAAAAAAUAUAUAGAGGGAGAAGUAGAGUUAAAGAGGAACGGGCAAAGGAAGAAAACUGGUGAGGAGAUUAGUGGUACCAACAAUAAAUUCGUCCACAAUAAACACAUGGACAUAUUCCAUCAUAAGAAAAUGAAAAAAAUAAUAUUCAGUAUUAGAACUAAUUAAUUUACAAAUUAGUUUAAAAAAAAUACUCUAUCUGUUCCUAAAAAUAUGAUGUUUUACAGAAUUGAUGUUCCAUUUAUUAAUACACAUUAUACAACUUAAUCGAUAACAUUAAUCAAAAUACAGCUCUUAAUUAACUAACUAAUUGCUAUUAGAAAUAUAAAUAAUAUUUGUUGUCCCUUUCUCUCGGUCCGAGGUAAACAUAGAUGCAAUUCAAGAACAAAUGAUAGUAUGACGAAGAAAGACGUACGACGUUGUAUCAAGUCUCAAGCUUCUAAGGGAACCAGCCAUUUAACCAUUUAUAAAACCUAAUUAAAUUCAACAAAUUGCGGGGUUUUUUUUUUGUCUUUGAUUUUUUAGAGUUGACUUAUCCCUCAAGGUACCCUUUGUUUUGCAAGUAGGAGAUGAUAUGUUCAGCCAUCUGACGUGGUGAACAAGAAUCGUCAUCUCCCGUGUGUUUCAGAACAACCUGUAAAAAAUAUACGUAGAUACAUCAAUACUAUUUUAGAAAUUUACGUAUCAAAUUCUUCGACUACAUCACGGAGAAUAAAUAUUACGAACCUCGCAGUUCAGUGGCGCCUCGUAAGGAUCAUCGAUUCCAGUAAAGCCUGAAUCAAGAAAAAAAAUCAGUAUUUAUCUUUUACUACUACUACUACUACAAUCUCAAAACCACAUCCAUUUUAUACCUAACAGCAAGUAUUUAAUAAUGUUAUUAUUCCCUCCGUUUGAAAUGUAAUACCUUUGAUUUUGCCGGCACGUGCGAGCUUGUACAACCCCUUUGGAUCUCUUGACUCGCACACAGACAGAGGAACAUCCAUGAAAACCUAACAACAAUUUAAUCAUACGUAAUAUGAUCAAUAUACUAUAUAUAUCGUCUAUUUUAUGAAAUUAAAUGAAUAAAAAUAAAAAAGGAUCGGACGAUAAGCACCUCCACGAAAUCUCCCUCGGGUAACAACGACCGGCACUCAUCUCUGUCUCUCCGGUAAGGAGAAAUCAAACUUGCUAUACAAAUGACGCCAACGUCAGCAAACAGCUUUGCCACCUCACCUGAAGUUCAAUAUCAUUCCUUCAACCAUGAUCAAUUAGUUAUUGAUAAUUUUUGGAAACAAAAAUUGAAAAAUGAUUGUACCGAUCCUGCGUAUGUUUUCGGUACGAUCCUCAGCUUUGAAAGUGAGGUCCCGGUUAAGACCAUGACGUACAUUGUCUCCGUCAAGUGUGUAAGUAAGUUUGCCUCUUUCGAACAGAGCUUUACUUAAGGCACAAGCAACAGUGCUUUUCCCUGAGCCGCUGAGACCAGUGAUCCAAAUGAC